rnacentral:rRNA from 1 species
AGCAGCCGCGGUAAUUCCAGCUCCAAUAGCGUAUAUUAAAGUUGUUGCAGUUAAAAAGCUCGUAGUUGAAUUUCAGGCCUGGCUGGACGGUCCGCCCUUCGGGUGAGUACUGUCUGUGGUCGGGUCCUACCUUCUGGCGAAGCGUCAUGGCCUUAACCGGCCGUGGCGGGGAACCAGGACUUUUACUGUGAAAAAAUUAGAGUGUUCAAAGCAGGCAAAUCGCUUGGAUACAUUAGCAUGGAAUAAUGGAAUAGGACAAUGGUUCUAUUUGUUGGUUUCUAGGACCGUUGUAAUGAUUAAUAGGGAUAGUUGGGGGCAUUAGUAUUCAAUUGUCAGAGGUGAAAUUCUUGGAUUUAUUGAAGACUAACUACUGCGAAAGCAUUUGCCAAGGAUGUUUUCAUUAAUCAAGAACGAAAGUUAGGGGAUCGAAGACGAUCAGAUACCGUCGUAGUCUUAACCAUAAACCUAUGACCGACUAGGGAAUCGGGCGAUGUUGACAAAAUGACGCGCUCGGCACCUC